GGAGAUGCUUUCGUGUAAAACCUGAGACAGUUUUGUGUGGACCGAUUAACGACAUCAUGGACCGAUGGAUUCGUCACAAAUAAUGACGACAAACACGCAAAGAUGGAUGUAAAAGGAGAAACGAAAUGAUUUACAGAGAAGUUGAACCCAGGUGACUGCACUGAGUUUGAAGUUACCAAGGACUAUUUAAAAGCCUGUCUCUAUGUGAUGGGCGAGAGCAGCCAUUGUUCCAGUGCAAAAGACUGAGCUAUGAAGCCAUGUAAUAAUGCGGAAUCCACACAUCAACAGCUACAACAACAACGGCAACA